AUAGGCGGGGCCAGGAAUGGAGAUUGACAGCUCGCAGAGUAGCGACUAGCGAGUGAAUAAAGCGUCCUGGACGGUGAUAUGGGAGCAGGGAGUAGGUGAGCGAGCCUGAUAGAACCAUGGACCGGUCACUAACAAUACAUGGUCUGGUGUUUAUUUUCUGCUGCCUGCUGAAGAUACCAAAGUUCUGUGAUGCCGACUCUUCAUCCGCCGUUCCAUGGGAUGAUGCUGCUACUAGGAUUUCUCUACCGGAUGUAGUUACAUUAGAAAAAGGAAGCUCCAAAAACAUAAGUAUAAAUGCAAA